rnacentral:rRNA from 1 species
UACGAAGGGGGCUAGCGUUGUUCGGAUUUACUGGGCGUAAAGCGCACGUAGGCGGUUUGUUAAGUCAGGGGUGAAAUCCCGGAGCUCAACUCCGGAACUGCCUUUGAUACUGGCAAGCUAGAGUCCGGAAGAGGUAAGUGGAACUCCUAGUGUAGAGGUGGAAUUCGUAGAUAUUAGGAAGAACACCAGUGGCGAAGGCGGCUUACUGGCCCGAUACUGACGCUGAGGCACGAAAGCGUGGGGAGCAAACAGG